CAUCUGUGAAAAUUAAAUCCUAAAUUUUGAAUGAUGCAGAGAAGAUUAGCAUGACCACAGUGUAAGGAUGACAUGCAAUUUUGUGAAGCAUUCCAUAUAUAU
rnacentral:snRNA from 1 species